ACAAAUACAAAUAGUCUUCCAAUCCCUUGCUCAUUGAUACAUUGUAAUUUGCUCCCAUAGACCAUUAUUGAAACCACUACUAUUGGAAACUUCAGAUAUAUCCGCUCCAGUUUGAAAUAAAUAGACUUAAACCAAUACAUUUACAUAAAUGUUCUUAAUUCUAAUAACAAUAUGUAUAUGCAAACACUUCAAUUGAUAAACAAAUUUUGGUUUGAAUAGUAUAUGUCAAAAUGCAAGCACA
rnacentral:lncRNA from 1 species